rnacentral:rRNA from 1 species
UACGGAGGGUGCAAGCGUUAUCCGGAUUCACUGGGUUUAAAGGGUGCGUAGGCGGGUUGGUAAGUCAGUGGUGAAAUCUCCGAGCUUAACUUGGAAACUGCCAUUGAUACUAUCAGUCUUGAAUAUUGUGGAGGUCAGUGGAAUAUGUCAUGUAGCGGUGAAAUGCGUAGAUAUGAGAUAGAACACCAAUGGCGAAGGCAGCUGGCUGGGCAUAUAUUGACACUGAGGCACGAAAGCGUGGGGAGCAAACAGG